GAUGAACGCUAGCGGCAGGCCUAAUACAUGCAAGUCGAGGGAGAAUGUUGGAUUCGUCUGACAUGAAACCGGCGCACGGGUGCGUAACACGUAUGCAACCUACCUUUAACUGGGGUAUAGCUCAGAGAAAUCUGAAUUAAUCCCCCAUAAGACUACGACAUGGCAUCAUGAUGUAGUUAAAGCUCCGGCGGUUAAGGAUGGGCGUGCGGUACAUUAGCUAGUUGGUGAGGUAAUGGCUCACCAAGGCUACGAUGUAUAGGGGGUCUGAGAGGAUGCGCCCCCACACUGGUACUGAGACACGGACCAGACUCCUACGGGAGGCAGCAGUAGGGAAUAUUGGUCAAUGGACGCAAGUCUGAACCAGCCAUGCCGCGUGAAGGAUGAAGGCCCUAUGGGUCGUAAACUUCUUUUAUUAGGGAAGAAAAAACGGGAUGCGUCCUGUACUGACGGUACUUAAUGAAUAAGGAUCGGCUAACUUCGUGCCAGCAGCCGCCGUAA
rnacentral:rRNA from 1 species